rnacentral:rRNA from 1 species
AACGAACGCUGGCGGCAUGCCUAACACAUGCAAGUCGAACGAGACCUUCGGGUCUAGUGGCGCACGGGUGCGUAACGCGUGGGAAUCUGCCCUUGGGUUCGGAAUAACAGUUGGAAACGACUGCUAAUACCGGAUGAUGACGUAAGUCCAAAGAUUUAUCGCCCAGGGAUGAGCCCGCGUAGGAUUAGCUAGUUGGUGGGGUAAAGGCCUACCAAGGCGCCGAUCCUUAGCUGGUCUGAGAGGAUGAUCAGCCACACUGGGACUGAGACACGGCCCAGACUCCUACGGGAGGCAGCAGUGGGGAAUAUUGGACAAUGGGCGAAAGCCUGAUCCAGCAAUGCCGCGUGAGUGAUGAAGGCCUUAGGGUUGUAAAGCUCUUUUACCCGGGAUGAUAAUGACAGUACCGGGAGAAUAAGCCCCGGCUAACUCCGUG